rnacentral:rRNA from 1 species
CCUACGGGUGGCAGCAGUGAGGAAUAUUGGUCAAUGGCCGAGAGGCUGAACCAGCCAAGUAGCGUGAGGGAAGACGGCCCUACGGGUUGUAAACCUCUUUUGUCGGGGAGCAACGAGCCUCACGUGUGACUCUUUGAGAGUACCCGAAGAAAAAGCAUCGGCUAACUCCGUGCCAGCAGCCGCGGUAAUACGGAGGAUGCGAGCGUUAUCCGGAUUUAUUGGGUUAAAAGGGUGCGAAGGCGGAUGUGCAAGGCGGCGGUCAAAUUGCGGGGCUCAACCCGGCACUGCCGGGCAAACUGGAGUGCUUGAGUGCGCGGAAAGCAGGCGGAAUGCGUGGUGUAGCGGUGAAAUGCUUAGAUAUGACGAAGAACCCCGAUUGCGAAGGCAGCUUGCUGGAGCGGAACUGACGCUCAUGCUCGAAAGCGUGGGUAUCGAACAGGAUUAGAUACCCUGGUAGUC